GAGUGUCACAGCUCUUUCAAAAUUUGUACAGCAAGUUUUUUGCUUUUUACUAGAAACACUUCU
ensembl:snRNA U7 U7 small nuclear RNA